AGAGAGCUUGUUUCGUCUCUCUGCUCUCCCACCAUAUGAGGAGACAAGAAGAUGGUGAUCAACAAACCAGGAAAAAUGCUCUUAUCAGAGAGCACAUCUGCUGGCACCUUGAUCUUAGAAUUCUCAGCCUUCAGAACUGUAGGGAAAGUUUUUUCUAUUGUUUAAGCCACUCACACUAUCCUGUAAUAACAGCUUGAACUAAGGCACCACCUGAAAACUCUAAAAAUAACGUAGAUGGCAUUGAUCAGUGUACCAGCCUGGACUUCUUUCUCCUGGGAGGAGUGACAAAUCUGAUUGGUGAGUUAGGAACAGACAAUUGGUUUCCCUAGCUACAGGCCAUUUUGAUAGCCAUGGUAGCCCAUAACUGAAAACGUCGCAAGAGAGCACAGAAACUAUGUACCUUGAUCAUGGUAUCUCCCCUGCCAGACUUCAUGACUUGUGCAAAACUGAACAUGACUGAGGCUAAUCAAGUCUGAAGUAAAGAACAUGCCUUAUAGACCUGGUUAGAGCUUCUAGCAUCAUACUCAGAGGGAGCGUUGGUGACUCAGUUGGUUGAGCAUCCAACUCUUGAUUUUGGCUCAUGUCA